GAUGAACGCUGGCGGCGUGCCUAAUACAUGCAAGUCGAGCGAACGGACGAGAAGCUUGCUUCUCUGAUGUUAGCGGCGGACGGGUGAGUAACAGGUGGGUAACCUGCCUAUAAGAAUGGGAUAACUUCGGGAAACCGGAGAUAAUACCGGAUAAUAUUUUGAACCGCAUGGUUCAAAAGUGAAAGACGGUCUUGCUGUCACUUAUAGAUGGAUCCGCGCUGCAUUAGCUAGUUGGUAAGGUAACGGCUUACCAAGGCAACGAUGCAUAGCCGACCUGAGAGGAUGAUCGGCCACACUGGAACUGAGACACGGUCCAGACUCCUACGGGAGGCAGCAGUAGGGAAUCUUCCGCAAUGGGCGAAAGCCUGACGCAGCAACGCCGCGUGAGUGAUGAAGGUCUUCGGAUCGUAAACCUCUGUUAUUAGGGAAGAACACAUCUGUAAGUAACUGUGCACAUCUUGACGGUACCUAAUCAGAAAGCCACGGCUAACUACGUG
rnacentral:rRNA from 1 species